rnacentral:rRNA from 1 species
UACGUAGGGUGCGAGCGUUAAUCGGAAUUACUGGGCGUAAAGGGUGCGCAGGCGGUUAUAUAAGACAGAUGUGAAAUCCCCGGGCUCAACCUGGGAACUGCGUUUGUGACUGUAUGACUAGAGUACGGUAGAGAGGGGUGGAAUUCCUGGUGUAGCAGUGAAAUGCGUAGAUAUCAGGAGGAACAUCGAUGGCGAAGGCAGCCCCUUGGACCUGUACUGACGCUCAUGCACGAAAGCGUGGGGAGCAACAGG